CCUGCACCUAGAGGCAUUGUCGGUGUGGCUGUUGUGUCACAUGUGUGUCAGUAGGUGGCAGAGAAGAGAGAGGCUAUGUCUAUGCUCAGUGUUCUGACCUGUGAACAUCUGAAUGACGAGAAGCCCAACAUU